rnacentral:rRNA from 1 species
GACAGAGGUGCCGAGCGUUAGGCGGAAUCACUGGGCUUAAAGCGUGUGUAGGCGGCGGCGUAAGUACCUUGUGAAAUCCCACGGCUCAACCGUGGAACUGCUCGGUAUACUGCGUCGCUUGAGCCAGCUAGGGGCGACCGGAACAAACGGUGGAGCGGUGAAAUGCGUAGAUAUCGUAAGGAAGACCAGUGGCGAAGGCGAAUCUCUGGACAGUUACUGACACUGAGGAGCGAAAGCGUGGGGAGCGAACAGG